AUGCCUACACAAAUUGGUAAACUUUUUAUUAAGUUGGCCAACUUGUUUUUAGUAUGUUGAAUUGGCAUAGUGUCAUAAAUACUUACCCUUUCCUAUGUAUGUAUGUAAGUAUGUAUGUACCUAUCAUGUAGCGUGUCAGUAAUAAUUAAAUUUGAAAUUAGAUUAUCAGUUUUUUGUUGUGAUUAAUUGUCAUUGAAAAUCAACAGAAUUCGUAGAUGAAUUUUGUUCUUACUUGAAUUGGUGUUUUGCAUACGUGGCAGAAACUGCUACCAAUCAGGAAACAGGAGUUUUGAUAGGCGUGGCUUCGAACACGUACACUUGCUUGGACGUCCGGCAGCCAUAAUUCCUGAGAAGAAUUGUGUGUGAAUUCUUGUCGUGAUUCUCUAUAGCCAAACACAGUACGCUGUACAUUUUACACUCUUCAGUGGAAACGAUUUAUUGAAAAAAUUUUUGAAAUAAGCAAAAUGGAUGUUCAAACAGGAUUGGUAUACGUAGCGGUUGUAGUUAUUUCUGCAGCAGUUAUUGUUUUAGUGUCAAUGUUUGGUAUAAAAGAAAAGUCUUAUGAAGAAGCAAUAGCAGAACAGAGAAAACUUCCUGAUGAUCUUUUGUUUAGUAAGAAAGAUAAAAAUAAAGAGAAAAAACAUAAAAAUAAGACUGGGAAGAAGGUAAAGGAGAAGAAAGAAGAAAAGGAGGAAAAAGAAGACAAAGAAGAAAAACCAGAACAUAUUCAGUUUGAAGAAAAUCCUCAAAUACUACCAUUAGAACCCUUACUAAGGGGGGGUAGCAAAGGAAGUAAGAAGAAAAGCAAGGUUGAAAAGAUAAAACCGAUUCUUGUAAAUAAAGACGAGCCAUUGGUUAUUGUGACUGAAUUAAGUUCUUCACAACCCUUGUCGAUAGAGGCUAAUCAUUUUGACCUCAUUCAGCCAAAGGACGACCUCGAACUAGUACGGAGUCAUAGUAAAGAAAAUUUACACCAAAUUGGUCAAUCUGAGCCAGUUGCGAAUAAAUCUCCAAAGGAAACUCCAACAAAAUCAAAGAAAAGUGUGAAGGAUUCUGCAAAGAAAAAGGAUGAAAAUGUUAAAGAAGAAAAAAAGGAAGCAACUGCAAAUAUUAAUGGGCAAUCAGUUAAUAAGGAUUCUAUAAAAGAAACAAAAGAUGUUAAAGAACAGAAAGAAACACCAGUUAAAGAGGUGAAGGAGGUUGUAAAAGAAACAAUUGUACUUUCUGCUCAACCUCCUGCUAAAGAAUCUAAAAAGUCAAAGAAGAAGAAUGACAUUUUAGCACAAAUUGGUGGAGAUAGAGAUGCUGUUAAUGUGUCUCUUUUGAUGCCUUUGGUUCAAAAAGCUGAACUUAGCCGUUCUGAAAUACAAAUUCUCAUUGAUCAACUUUUAAAUAAACAAAUGGAUAAUCCAUCAGAACACUCGGAAUGGACAGAAGGUCGUGCAGAUCCGGUGAUUAAAUUAAAGAAACAAUUGGCAGAGAAGGAAAAAGCUUUAGCCGAUGAGCACGAAGCAAAUAUCGCAUUUCAAAUCAAACUAAAAGAAUUACGUGUUGAACUUAAUUCUGAGAGAUCUAGAUUAUCGGCUAAUGUGAGGCAACUAGAAGAAGCUUUAAAUGCAAAAGUAACGGAGACUCAAACUUUACAUACACGGAUGCAACACAUUUUAGAAAGUCAUGCCGCCGAAAAGCAAGGAUUUACUAGACAGAUCGAACAGUUGCAAACUAAAGUAAAUGAAAAUGCUGCGAUCAUUCAUAAAAUGCAGGAGGAUCAGGGACAAACUCAAGGUCAUCUUCAACAAGAAUUGAUCACACAGCGCAAAAAUAUGGAAAUUCAAUUUGCACAAAUGCGUGAAAAUGAGAAUGCUUUGAAAGCACAAUUAGCUCAGAAACAUGUUGACGUACAAAAUCUGCAAAGUGAGUUACAAGAAACUUGUGAAAAUACAACAGGUGAAAUCGAUUUGUUACAACAACAAUUAGGACUCAUGCAAAACCAAUUAAUGCACUCAGAAGGGCAGUUACAACAUUUUAAAGACUCCGAUGACAGAUUGCAAGAUAUGGCUAGACAGCUUGAGGAAUCACAUCGCGCUCAUGCUGAUCUAGAUCAUAGAUUGAAAAAUGCUCAUCGUCAUGAACAAGAGCUUCAGAAACAAGUAAACUCAUUGCAAAGUGAAUUAAAUGCUGUAAAAUCAGAAGCUAACAAUGUUGCAGCAUUAAAGGCAGAACUAAGUAAAGCUCAGUCUGAUUUAGUGAAAUUAAAAUCUGAAUUGUCCGUUUCCAUGAAUGAAGCGAAAUCUGAAGCAGCUGAAAUUACAGCUCUUAAAAUGACACUGGUUAAUAAAGAAGAUGAGUUGAAAAAAUCUGAGGAGAAACUUAAUAAUAUACGAGUAGAGUUUAAUCAGUCAACAGAAAAUACAGCUAAAUUGGAGGCGCAGUUGCAUGCGACACAAAAGAAACUUGAUACGCUUAAAGUCGAAUUUGAAAAGGCAAUAGAAAAUCUAAAGAAAGCACAGGAGAAAGCUAAUACUUAUAAAUCUGAUGUGCAGAAAUUACAAGAAGAAUUGAAACAAAAAGAAAUCGAGCUAGAGAAGAAUCGCGCAGAACUUAGAAUUUCAAAUGAGGCAACAAACGAAAUAAAAAUGUUAAAAGCUGAAAUAAACAGGUUACAAUGUAAUGAUAAAAAAUUAAGCGAAACACAGUUACAAAUUACACGGUUGCAAGAAGAAAAUGAUAAACUUUCAAUGCAGUUAUCGACUUUCACUGAUCUACAAAAACAACUUAAACAAUUGCAAGAAGAAAACGAAUCAUUGGCUUCUCAACUGGCGGCAACAACUGAACGACCAGCUGCAGAAGGCCGAGAAAAUGGAAUCGAUGAUAAUGUUCAAAAGAAUGUUCAGCUUGUAGAACAAACCAAUUUGUUGGCCCAAAAAGAGAGUCAGUUAGACGCCUUAAAAAAAGAAUUAACACAUAAAGAGACAGAACUUAGUCAAUUGACUGCUCAGGUUGAUGCAUUACGAAGCGAUGUAAACAACCAACGUCGUCUUGCUGUUCGCUUAAAUGAUGAUUUAGAAGCACAAAGGUCUAAAAAUAAUGAGUUGCGUAUGAAAAAUUGGAAAGUGAUGGAAGCUCUUUCUGCUGCUGAAUCGCGCGUUAAAUCUAAUAAUGGCAAGAACGUUGAUGAAGUUACAAAAAAGGUGAAAUCACAACAAGAAGAAUUUACAAAGGCUUUAUUACAAAGGAUAUUCCCGGAAAUAAAAGUAUCCGAAAAAUCCUACGAUCAGUGGCUUAAAGUUUUUGAAGAAAGAGUAAACACAGUUUUAAUAGACUUAAAGAAGAAGAAUAUAGUUGAUACACCCUCGGAGUUCGAAAAACAAAACAAAAAUUUACAAGACUUGGUUUCACAUUAUAAACAAAUUAUUGACGAUACAGAAGGUAUGCUUAAUAAACUUCAAAGUCAUGUAGAAUCGGAAGAAACGAGAUGGGAGUCCCAGCUUCGGCAAAAAGAAAAUGAAGUUGCAAGUCUUAGGCUUGAGUUAAACGAACUCAUGAAUAAAUCAAAUAUAAAUGAAAAGUUACAAGCCAAAAUAGUAGAAUUGGAAACUAGGUUAAAAGAGGCUGAAUCUGUUAAAGAACAAACCAAUACCCAAUUACUGGCACUUAGAUCUGCACCGCCAUUAUUUCCGAAUGAAAUAAAUACUCAUGAUCUAGCUGCACUGGAAAAACUUCAAGAGGAAAAAGCACGAUUAUCAGAAGAACUUCAAAUAGAAUGUAAUAAAAGAGCAGCAGUAGAUGCGGAAUUAGAUAAGUUACGUUCUGUAGUUACACAACUUCACCAAAAAAUGUCACAAAUUAAGAGCGAAGUUCGAGGGAGUUGUAGCAAUCCAGAACAAUCAGUGUUAAAUGGGCCGCCAACUUCCGAGUGUUCUAAUUCUGAGCCCAUCAAUUUGGUUCAGUUUCAAGAAAUUGACAACAGCCCCUUUACUACAAAACACUCCUUCAAAUCUUGUCAUACGACAGAUCACAACACACAGCCUAGCUGGAAUCCGUUGAUGAGCCAGCAGCAUAAAAAGCACAAGAAAAAAAGGAAGUCCACUAAGAAACCCAUGGCAAAAGGGCGCAGAUUCGCAGUUAUAGAAACAGUUUGACAAAGAGGAACAAAAUAUAUAACAUUGCCAGUGUGGAAAGGAGCUAUGUGAAGAUGAUGGGUAUCAAAGAGGUGGUUCAGGAAAAAAAUAACUUCAAAGGGCAAGCUGCGUUAAUACAGUGCAAAAUCAGAUAGUUGGUAAAGGAAAUAGAAGUAAAAUUACACAUACUCCAACACUAUAAGCAACAUGGUAAACUUUGCUAUCGAGAAGACUAAUAUUCUGAUGAAAUGUUAUGUUUCUUAUAAAAAAGAGUAUCAUAUUUUAUUAUGUGAAAGAAAAAAAAAUAUAAAUAACGAAACUUUUGUAGCUAGACACUAAGAAAUAAUGAACCUGGUGUUUGUCAUAAUUGCACAAGUGAUAAACACAAAGAAAUAUAUAAUUUAAGAAUUGCUGCAACUGUAUUUUGUAGAUUGCAAUAUAACAAUAUUGUUUGAACAUUAUUUUUGUUACAUAAAGCAUAAAUAGAUUUUCUCAGUCUUCGUAGCGGUUUAUCUGAAAUUUAUUAUAGAUAUAUUGUAUCAUUUAUACAGUAAAAUCUACGUAUAUAUUACGUUUAACAAAACGCACGAUACUUUAAACUACAAAUGAUAAAAUAGGUACUUUUAUUGUCCAUUUUUCUUUUUCUUUUUUUAUGGAGUAGCAAACACCAGAGUUUUAGACAAUUUUCAUAUUGUUAAAGCAUUUGUAUACAAAGCUGAAAUCGUUAAUGAAUUAAUGUGCAAUAAAUAAUCGUGUUCAUGUGAUCACGUGUAUGAAAAAUAAUAGUGUGUUCAAGACUGCUUUUAAGAGCAACUUUCAAUUUACGAACAAAUUCUUUUUACAAAAUACGAUGAAGACUAAUCAUGCACAACUAUAGCAAGUGUAAGAAAAUCUGUUCAGGAAUACAUUUGAAUGGGUUAAAAUAUAAUAAAGUAAAUAAGCUAUAUUAAUA